AACGAAUCUUCCCCAAUGCCGGAAACGGUGAGGGAGCGACGCCGCGUGAAGGACGAAGUUCUUCGGAAUGUAAACUUCUGUAAGGGUCAUGAAAGUCCUAGGGCUAAUAUCCCAAAGGAUUGAUCUGAUCCCUAAAAGGGGCGGCUAACUCUGUGCCAGCAGCCGCGGUAAUACAGAGGCCCCAAGCGUUACUGAGAAUCACUGGGUUUAAAGGGUGCGUAGGUGGUCUGUUAAGUUCGUUGUGAAAGCCCUGGGCUCAACCCAGGAACGGCUUCGAAUACUGGCAGACUUGAGGCUAGUAGGGGUCACUGGAACUGACGGUGGGGCGGUGAAAUGCGGAGAUAUCGUCAGGAACGCCAAUGGUGAAGACAGGUGACUGGGCUAGUUCUGACACUGAGGCACGAAAGCGUGGGGAGCGAACG
rnacentral:rRNA from 1 species